rnacentral:lncRNA from 1 species
AGAAGUACAAAGGGAAAACCAGCAGGCAAGGAGGCAAAGGAGGGGGUAAAAGCUGUAUUCUGUUCCUGAAAACCAGCAAUGUAGUCAAAGGAGCUCCUGCCCACGUCCAGGCRCCUGGUGCUGUCCCGAGUUGCAGCCUGUCGUGACUGAGGCCUCAAAGACUUGGGAACCUGUUCAGCUACAGGCGGCUUCAUUCAUCUCGGAGAACUCGCAGUUCCCUCUCAAAAGAUAAUUUAGGAUCAUGUGCACGUGAAGCGGAACAAAAGCCUGCAUUACUCUGCGUGGGAUCUUAAACUCUGAGCUCUCCAAACCAGGUAUUUUUAAAAUGGAUGUGUUUGUGCAGCACCCCC